rnacentral:lncRNA from 1 species
CCCAACCCAGCUGCUUAUGUAGGUGACCUCUAGCCAUUCCCUGAUGACACGUGGUUAUUUGGACCUAGACAAAAAGUCCGCUGGCUGGAGAGAGCCACAAUUCUUCUGAGCCCCAGGACCUUCACAGCCAAGGCAGCAGAAGCAGCAGGAGAAAAGUUGUCACUCUGCUCAGUUGAACUCUCUCAUGUUCUCUUGACUGACCAUGUGAUCCAAGCAUCAAGGGAUUCCUAACAGAAUGAAAUCAUCAACGCACCUUUAAUAUAAAAGCAGCAGAGCGAAGGCAGGAGGACUGCCUGGUUCUCAGAUCAAGACGAUGAAAGCAGACAUUCAAAACCAGAAGACAUUUUGUGGUGCAUUUUCAAACGAACUUCAGACCCCUUGGAGUGCCGGUUUGAGAACACAGACAUCCAAGAAAUAUCUCCUUUUCUUCCUCCUCUUCUUCCUGUUCCUCCUUCUUUGUAAGGAGUCAGUGAGAUUCUUUGUUACAAAGGUUCCACUACUAAGACCAAGGUGCUUAUAAGACUGAGGCUGCUUCAUGAGUAUUUCACUCAAGACAAGCAUUUUUGGGUGGAUCUUGGCUGGCCAUCACCACCUCCAGAGAAGAGGAAGGGAAGAAGGAAACAUCUGGAAGUGACAGCAUUUCGUUCUGGACCUUGCCCACAUGAAUGAUGCACUAAGACAAUUCUCUGCCUUAUCAUAAAUUCUGCAAACUCAUGAACUUUGCAAUCUCUGAAGCUCGGCACUGUAUGGAAGCCACUUAUCUUGUGCUGAAAGCAAUAUAAAAACAGAUGGCAAAGAGUGCAUCGAGAGAUAAAUCAGCGGCCUCACUGCCAGGAGUUUGCGGACAAAUCCAACACAGCGAGACUCUCGGACAUGGGACUUGCUCAACUGGGGCAUUCCUGGGGUGAGGCAGCCUGGUCUGGUGGAGGAGGCAGAUGAAAGGCAGAGAGAGAGAGUCCUAUGUAGAGGAUUUUGAAGGUCCCAUCUCAAGCUGCCCCAGUUAAUCUUACCAGUCCUGGUCGGGGGAACCAAGCUGUGGGGCUAACAGAUGAUAUGGUGGCCCUCUCUAGGGUUACAACUAAGGCUGGCACCCCAAGGUGGGUCCUGCCUAAUACUUUGUUCCUGUAUUAAAGCCCAGUCAAUGACACCAGGAGAGUACUUUAGAAUGCCUACAGUGGUUACAGGAAGGUCAAAAGCAUAAGAGAACAAAGAA